GAUACUCUCAGUGGUAUUUACGUGUCACAGUACGAUUCGAACACUUGUGUACAUGUACGUGAAAUAUAUUGCGAACAGAACUGCUAGGGUUUCCUGAUCAGUUUAACAAAUCCAAUCCAUCAGUUGCUAGUUCAAAUGACCUCGCAUAACUCAAAUAUCAACAUCUGAUGAACAACAUUGCUCAUCUUAAACCGCGGGAAAUAAACAACCGCGAGAACCGUUUAAAAAAGUCCCGAUCGUCCAUGUAGGCUACUUUUAACGUAGCGAGACCUGGCGACAAUGCAAACGCAUCUAACGUCAAACUAUUCUGGAUAAUGUGUGAUGUCAAUAUAGUCCGUGUUUACACAUUUGGAAAGUUUUAUAUGUUCUCUCUUAAAGUCUCGUUGCGUUUUGUGAUGUUAUAAAAGAACAUGGAAGUGGACUUUUUGGUUAUAGGGCGGCAGUGGCCACUGUGAGGUUGGGGAAGGGCGGCGCGGGUAUCUGACUGCUAAUGCUGGCUUGACGUGCUCUUGGAAAUUAAUUCCUACUUCAACCCGGAAAUAACUUGAAACCCGGAAAUAAACAUUUAUAUUAGCCUACUAAUAAAAUUGGAAUUAUUGAAUUUCCGAGAGCAGGUGAAGGCAGCAUAAACCCUAAAGGGCGAAACACUGCGUUUUUUUAUUUUAUUUUGUGUUCCUAGAUAGCAAACAGGGUUAGAUUAGUAUGUUGAUUUUUGGUUAGAAAUGUCAAUAUCGGUCGUCAAUCAAAUUUCGAUGUUGAAACAUCGUUCACUAUUUGGUCGGUAUAUCGGACCGUUUCAUACGUAAGAAGUAAAACAUUGAAUCAACAUCGAUAUGAGGAUAUUAACACGACACAACUGGUCGGAAUCAUAUCCUAAUUUGGUAACUUGGUGGGAGGAGUCAGAGUUCUGCUAGCGAGCUCGAUCACACAAUUCAACUUUGCGCGUCCAACUGUCACGGACUGGAGUUCGUCUGAGGUGCCAUGGUGCUUUACAAAGAGAAGCUGCUCACUAACAACAGAAUUCUCAAAGAUGUGGCAAAGCCAAGCCACCAACAUCAAACUUCAGCUCUUGAGGCAUUUCAUAGUGUCAUUCCGAGAUUUGCCCUGAAGAAUGUUGUUUACCCUUUUAUUGGAAUGCUAUGCAUAUAAUAUUAUUUUUAAGAUAAGUUUUAGUAAAACUAAGUUGUAUCAAAACAAAAAUAUUAAUGAAACAUAAGCAUUCUUAUUGUCAAAGUUUUUUCAACUUCAUUUCAAUUGAUCCUUAUAGUCUUUAUCUUGUGGCAGUCCAUUUCAUUGAGAAUGCGGUUCGUGAACAGGCACUGACAUUGGAGGGCACACCUGUAUACAAGAUACUGUAUCCUUAAUCAAAGAAGGAGCAACCUACAGCGAAACCAAAUACAUCAAUGAUCUGAUGAGACUGCUGUUCCUGGAGGUAUUUAACAACCCAGAGACCUUUGUUGAAGCACUCUGGAAAGUUCCAGAUUACCCAUCAGCGCAGUGUGACAGGCCAGCAAAGGAGGAUUUCAACGACCGACAUGUGUCUUGGUUCAAUCCAGCGGUGGCCGGUUGCCAAGUUGUUCCCCCCAGCAUCAGGAAAUUCAUGCAGAAUUCGCAGUACAACACACGAUGGAAUGACCAUGCACACAUGUCUGCAGAGAUAUCCCCAGCACCAGCUAACAAAA